ACGAACGCUGGCGGCGCGCCUAACACAUGCAAGUCGAACGAGCGAGAGAGAGCUUGCUUUCUCAAGCGAGUGGCGAACGGGUGAGUAACGCGUGAGGAACCUGCCUCAAAGAGGGGGACAACAGUUGGAAACGACUGCUAAUACCGCAUAAGCCCACGGGUCGGCAUCGACCAGAGGGAAAAGGAGUAAUCCGCUUUGAGAUGGCCUCGCGUCCGAUUAGCUAGUUGGUGAGGUAAUGGCCCACCAAGGCAACGAUCGGUAGCCGGACUGAGAGGUUGAACGGCCACAUUGGGACUGAGACACGGCCCAGACUCCUACGGGAGGCAGCAGUGGGGAAUAUUGCACAAUGGGGGAAACCCUGAUGCAGCGACGCCGCGUGGAGGAAGAAGGUCUUCGGAUUGUAAACUCCUGUUGUUGAGGAAGAUAAUGACGGUACUCAACAAGGAAGUGACGGCUAACUACGUGCCAGCAGCCGCGGUAAAACGUAGGUCACAAGCGUUGUCCGGAAUUACUGGGUGUAAAGGGAGCGCAGGCGGGAAGACAAGUUGGAAGUGAAAUCUAUGGGCUCAACCCAUAAACUGCUUUCAAAACUGUUUUUCUUGAGUAGUGCAGAGGUAGGCGGAAUUCCCGGUGUAGCGGUGGAAUGCGUAGAUAUCGGGAGGAACACCAGUGGCGAAGGCGGCCUACUGGGCACCAACUGACGCUGAGGCCCGACAGUGUGGGUAGCAAACAGGAUUAGAUACCCUGGUAGUCCACACCGUAAACGAUGAUUACUAGGUGUUGGAGGAUUGACCCCUUCAGUGCCGCAGUUAACACAAUAAGUAAUCCACCUGGGGAGUACGACCGCAAGGUUGAAACUCAAAGGAAUUGACGGGCACCCGCACAAGCGGUGGAGCAUGUGGUUUAAUUCGAAGCAACGCGAAGAACCUUACCUGGUCUUGACAUCCCGAUGGAUAACGGGUAAUGCCGUUAGUACUUCGGUACAUUGGAGACAGGUGGUGCAUGGUUGUCGUCAGCUCGUGCCGUGAGGUGUCGGCUUAAGUGCCAUAACGAGCGCAACCCUUAUCGAUAGUUACCAUCAGGUUAUGCUGGGGACUCUGUCGAGACUGCCGUCGUAAGAUGUGAGGAAGGUGGGGAUGACGUCAAAUCAGCACGGCCCUUACGUCCGGGGCUACACACGUGUUACAAUGGGGAGUACAGAGGGCAGCUACCGGGCGACCGGAUGCGAAUCCCGAAAGCUCCUCUCAGUUCGGACUGGAGUCUGCAACCCGACUCCACGAAGCUGGAUUCGCUAGUAAUCGCGCAUCAGCCACGGCGCGGUGAAUACGUUCCCGGGCCUUGUACACACCGCCCGUCACACCAUGAGAGCCGGGGGGACCCGAAGUCGGUAGUCUAACCGCAAGGAGGACGCCGCCGAAGGUAAAACUGGUGAUUGGGGUG
rnacentral:rRNA from 1 species